AUUGAACGCUGGCGGCAGGCCUAACACAUGCAAGUCGAGCGAGCGGCGGACGGGUGAGUAAUGUCUGGGAAACUGCCUGAUGGAGGGGGAUAACUACUGGAAACGGUAGCUAAUACCGCAUACCAUCAGAUGUGCCCAGAUGGGCUUAGCUGGUAGGUGGGGUAACGGCACAACUAGGCGACGCUCCCUAGCUGGUCUGAGAGGAUGACCAGCCACACUAGAACUGAGACACGGUCCAGACUCCUACGGGAGGCAGCAGUGGGGAAUAUUGCACAAUGGGCGCGAGCCUGAUGCAGCCGUGGCGCGUGUGUGAAGAAGGCCUUCGGGUUGUAAAGCACUUGCAGCGGGGAUGCGUUACCCGCAGAGGAAGCACCGGCUAACUCCGUGCCAGCAGCCGCGGUAGUUC
rnacentral:rRNA from 1 species